UACCCAGACUCCUACGGGAGGCAGCAGUGGGGAAUAUUGCACAAUGGGGGAAACCCUGAUGCAGCGACGCCGCGUGAGUGAAGAAGUAUUUCGGUAUGUAAAGCUCUAUCAGCAGGGAAGAAAAUGACGGUACCUGAUUAAGAAGCCCCGGCUAACUACGUGCCAGCAGCCGCGGUAAUACGUAGGGGGCAAGCGUUAUCCGGAUUUACUGGGUGUAAAGGGAGCGUAGACGGCAGCACAAGUCUGGAGUGAAAUGCCGGGGCUUAACCCCGGAACUGCUUUGGAAACUGUCAGGCUGGAGUACAGGAGAGGUAAGCGGAAUUCCUAGUGUAGCGGUGAAAUGCGUAGAUAUUAGGAGGAACACCAGUGGCGAAGGCGGCUUACUGGACUGUAACUGACACUGAGGCACGAAAGCGUGGGGAGCAAACAGGAUUAGAUACCCCAGUAUG
rnacentral:rRNA from 1 species